rnacentral:rRNA from 1 species
GAGUAACGCGUGGGUAACCUGCCUCAUACAGGGGGAUAACAGUUAGAAAUGACUGCUAAUACCGCAUAAGCGCACAGUGCUGCAUGGCACAGUGUGAAAAACUCCGGUGGUAUGAGAUGGACCCGCGUCUGAUUAGCUAGUUGGAGGGGUAACGGCCCACCAAGGCGACGAUCAGUAGCCGGCCUGAGAGGGUGACCGGCCACAUUGGGACUGAGACACGGCCCAAACUCCUACGGGAGGCAGCAUG